AAGUCGAACGGUAACAGGAAGCAGCUUGCUGCUUCGCUGACGAGUGGCGGACGGGUGAGUAAUGUCUGGGAAACUGCCUGAUGGAGGGGGAUAACUACUGGAAACGGUAGCUAAUACCGCAUAACGUCGCAAGACCAAAGAGGGGGACCUUAGGGCCUCUUGCCAUCGGAUGUGCCCAGAUGGGAUUAGCUAGUAGGUGGGGUAACGGCUCACCUAGGCGACGAUCCCUAGCUGGUCUGAGAGGAUGACCAGCCACACUGGAACUGAGACACGGUCCAGACUCCUACGGGAGGCAGCAGUGGGGAAUAUUGCACAAUGGGCGCAAGCCUGAUGCAGCCAUGCCGCGUGUAUGAAGAAGGCCUUCGGGUUGUAAAGUACUUUCAGCGGGGAGGAAGGGAGUAAAGUUAAUACCUUUGCUCAUUGACGUUACCCACAGAAGAAGCACCGGCUAACUCCGUGCCAGCAGCCGCGGUAAUACGGAGGGUGCAAGCGUUAAUCGGAAUUACUGGGCGUAAAGCGCACGCAGGCGGUUUGUUAAGUCAGAUGUGAAAUCCCGGGCUCAACCUGGGAACUGCAUCUGAUACUGGCAGGCUUGAGUCUCGUAGAGGGGGGUAGAAUUCCAGGUGUAGCGGUGAAAUGCGUAGAGAUCUGGAGGAAUACCGGUGGCGAAGGC
rnacentral:rRNA from 1 species